rnacentral:rRNA from 1 species
UCGGGAAUAUUGCGCAAUGGAGGAAACUCUGACGCAGUGACGCCGCGUAUAGGAAGAAGGUUUUCGGAUUGUAAACUAUUGUCGUUAGGGAAGAAAAAAGACAGUACCUAAGGAGGAAGCUCCGGCUAACUACGUGCCAGCAGCCGCGGUAAUACGUAGGGAGCAAGCGUUAUCCGGAUUUAUUGGGUGUAAAGGGUGCGUAGACGGGUAAUCAAGUUAGUUGUGAAAUCCCUUGGCUUAACUGAGGAACUGCAACUAAAACUGGUUAUCUUGAGUACAGGAGAGGUAAGUGGAAUUCCUAGUGUAGCGGUGAAAUGCGUAGAUAUUAGGAGGAACACCAGUGGCGAAGGCGACUUACUGGACUGAAACUGACGUUGAGGCACGAAAGUGUGGGGAGCAAACAGG